rnacentral:rRNA from 1 species
AUUGAACGCUGGCGGCAGGCCUAACACAUGCAAGUCGAACGAGUGGCGGACGGGUGAGUAAUGUCUGGGAAAAUGCCCGAUGGAGGGGGAUAACUACUGGAAACGGUAGCUAAUACCGCAUACCAUCGGAUGUGCCCAGGUGGGAUUAGAUAGUAGGUGGGGUAAGGGCUCACCGAGGCGACGAUCCAUAGCUGGUCUGAGAGGAUGACCAGCCACACUGCAACGGAGACACGGUCCAGACUCCAACGGGAGGCAGCAGUGGUGAAUAUUGCACAAUGGGCGCAAGCCUGAUGCAGCCAUGCCGCGUGUAUGCAGAUGGCCUUCGGGUUGUAAAGUACUUUCAGCGAGGAGGCGUUACUCGCAGAAGAAGCACCGGCUAACUCCGUGCCAGCCGCCGCGGUAAUAC